CUUCCAAACCAACAUGUGUGAAACAUAAUGGAGUCUCACUCUGUUACCCAGACUGGAGUGCAGUGGCAUGAUCUCGGCUCUACAACCUCCGCCUCCCAGGUUCAGAUUAUUUGGAAAUUUCCAGCUUUGUGCACUAGACAGAAGACCUUUGACCUCUGGGAUGACAGCAUAAAGGCGAGGGUAGAUUUCUAAAGAAAAGGAUCUGUGAACAUUUAGGAAAGCAAGCAGUGGUCACCAGGAAUUUGUGUGGAUUGCUGAUAAAGAAGUCAUUCUGCACUAACUUCAUCUCUUCUUUGGCAUUAUGGCUCAUCUGAUAAAUAAAUGCAAUAGACAUAUCUUUGGAUUUCAGUAUUCUCCACUGGUUGAAUGCAAAUGGAAGCCAGAGGAAAAGGGAACCCUUGACACAGUUUUCAUAUAGAUUGGCCUCCAGGGCAGACAGCAGAUUCCAAGAACCAGGAGGUUGUUUGCUGUACUCUCCCUUGUACAGUUAGCUGUCUCUAGUGCCUGAAUGCACUAAUUGUCCUUUGGGUAUGGAUGAGGUAAUGAAGGAAAGGGAUGCUGGGAAGAGAGGCCACAUGAGAAG
rnacentral:lncRNA from 10 species